GCUUUUAAUAAGUCCAUCUAGAUAUAUGUAGACAUAUGUAGAACAAAUCUAGUGUCUACAACGGCAACAAAAAAUGUAAACUCCAUCUAAUUAGGGUAAGUUAUAUUGUUCUUUUUUUGAACUUAUCAACGGUUUGAGUCAUCGAAAUAGCCUUCUUACUUGUAAUAGUAAAACUGCAUAGUUGUUAAAUCAUGCAAUGGUGAGAGCCUCAUGCAUUGACUAAUAUCUUUUUAAUGGAAACAUUCCUUAUAAUUUUCUUUUCUACUAGCCGUAAACGUCAUUCUCAAUAUUCUAAUUUGAAGGAUACUAGCUUUUUGGAUAAUUCUAUUUCUUAAGCACUUGACAUUCUGAUCCAUGGAGUGUGGCAAGUAUUACAUCUAUCUUGAAGCUUUUUUUCCCCUUUAAUUUAAGAGGGCACACAAAUAUCGUACAUUAUGCCAAACACCCUUCUCUGCUUUGACUGUCAGGGUCUACCAUAUGAAUAAUAUUUACUUUCGUUGCUGCCUUCCAUUGGAUGGUAGAUUCAUUGUUUUGAAAACUUGGCUUUUGGGUGCCCCUUUCCCUUUUUCAUCGAUUCCAAUUAUAGGUUUGCUUGAUCUUAAAUAUCUAGUUAGCUUAAAACCGAAGAGAACCUUGUAAAAUGGAAUGUUCUCUCUUAUUCAAAAUUGAGCUUUCAAGAGCUUAGGAUUAGAGCACAAGUGGCCUUUUAAGAGUUUAGGAUUCUUGUAGGUUCCAAUUAUGAGUUAUUGGAGUUUGCCAAUUGGGAUUGUGACAAUCUUUGCAUGGUUGUUUAAGUGGAACUAGAAUGUCAUUAGGUUAUUGAGAUUCCAAGUAUAUCAGGUUGUAGGUGAGUUUCAAAACUAUAGGCAGGUGGAACUUCAAAAACCGGCAAGUAUAUAUGUCAGGAAAACACCGAUGGCUGUGGAUAUGAUGCAGGUAAGAAACUUUGUAUAUAAUUCAUGGUAAAUAGAAGUGGAUGGUAUGGAGGUGGAUGGUGUAGAUAUAAAGCAAGGAUGGAAAAGUUAAGGCUGAGCUUGAAGGAUGAAAAAUGCACCACUGACUCUAGCAUCACAUGCAGGAGAAGCAGAUGAAAAUUUUGAAAUUAUGAAACUCAAAUUCAUUAAUUCAAAUUUGACUGAACAUAGUUUCUUCCUCUAUCUAAUAUAAGUCUAUUGUGUGUCAUGUACGUUCCUGCAUUGGUUAAGUUUGAGUUUCUAAUUGGCCAAAGCCUUGAUGAAUUGUUUGU
rnacentral:lncRNA from 1 species